rnacentral:rRNA from 1 species
CCUACGGGUGGCAGCAGUGAGGAAUAUUGGGCAAUGGACGGAAGUCUGAACCAGCCAUGCCGCGUGCAGGAAGAUGGCUCUAUGAGUUGUAAACUGCUUUUGUACAAGGGUAAACCUGAAUACGUGUAUUCAGCUAAAAGUACUGUACGAAUAAGGAUCGGCUAACGCCGAGCCAGCAGUCGCGGGAAUUCGGAGGAUCCAAGCGUUUUCCGGAUUUAUUGGGUGUAAAGGGUGGGAAGGCGGAUAGAUAAGUUAGAGGUGAAAUGUCCGAGCUUAACUCGGGUACUGCCUCUAAUACUGUUGAUCUAGAGAGUAGGAGAGGUAGACGGAAUGUAUGGUGUAGCGGUGGAAUGCGUAGAUAUCA